rnacentral:rRNA from 1 species
GAUGAACGCUGGCGGCGUGCCUAAUACAUGCAAGUCGAGCGAACGGACGAGAAGCUUGCUUUUCUGAUGUUAGCGGCGGACGGGUGAGUAACACGUGGAUAACCUACCUAUAAGACUGGGAUAACUUCGGGAAACCGGAGCUAAUACCGGAUAAUAUUUUGAACCGCAUGGUUCAAAAGUGAAAGACGGUCUUGCUGUCACUUAUAGAUGGAUCCGCGCUGCAUUAGCUAGUUGGUAAGGUAACGGCUUACCAAGGCAACGAUGCAUAGCCGACCUGAGAGGGUGAUCGGCCACACUGGAACUGAGACACGGUCCAGACUCCUACGGGAGGCAGCAGUAGGGAAUCUUCCGCAAUGGGCGAAAGCCUGACGGAGCAACGCCGCGUGAGUGAUGAAGGUCUUCGGAUCGUAAAACUCUGCUAUUAGGGAAGAACAUAUGUGUAAGUAACUGUGCACAUCUUGACGGUACCUAAACAGAAAGCCACGGCUAACUACGUG